rnacentral:rRNA from 1 species
CCUACGGGAGGCAGCAGUGGGGAAUAUUGCACAAUGGGCGAAAGCCUGAUGCAGCAACGCCGCGUGAAGGAAGAAGGGUUUCGGCUCUUAAACUUCUAUCAACAGGGACGAAAGAAAUGACGGUACCUGCAUAAGAAGCCCCCGCUAACUACGUGCCAGCAGCCGCGGUCAUACGGAGGGCGCAAGCGUUAUCCGGAAUUACUGGGUGGAAAGGAUGAGUAGGCGGCAUGGUAAGCCAGAUGUGAAAGCCUUGGGCUUAACCCGAGGAUUGCAUUUGGAACUGUCAAGCUAGAGUACAGGAGAGGAAAGCGGAAGUCCUAGUGUAGCGGUGAAAUGCGUAGAUAUUAGGAAGAACACCAGUGGCGAAGGCGGCUGUCUGGACUGAAACUGACGCUGAGGCACGAAAGCGUGGGGAGCGAACAGGAUUAGAUACCCCAGUAGUC